rnacentral:rRNA from 1 species
UACGGGGGGGGCAAGCGUUGUUCGGAAUUACUGGGCAUAAAGGGCUCGUAGGCGGCCAACUAAGUCAGACGUGAAAUCCCUCGGCUUAACCGGGGAACUGCGUCUGAUACUGGAUGGCUUGAGUUUGGGAGAGGGAUGCGGAAUUCCAGGUGUAGCGGUGAAAUGCGUAGAUAUCUGGAGGAACACCGGUGGCGAAGGCGGCAUCCUGGACCAACACUGACGCUGAGGAGCGAAAGCCAGGGGAGCAAACGGG